GACGAACGCUGGCGGCGUGCCUAAUACAUGCAAGUUGAGCGCUGAAGGUUGGUACUUGUACCAACUGGAUGAGCAGCGAACGGGUGAGUAACGCGUGGGGAAUCUGCCUUUGAGCGGGGGACAACAUUUGGAAACGAAUGCUAAUACCGCAUAAAAACUUUAAACACAAGUUUUAAGUUUGAAAGAUGCAAUUGCAUCACUCAAAGAUGAUCCCGCGUUGUAUUAGCUAGUUGGUGAGGUAAAGGCUCACCAAGGCGAUGAUACAUAGCCGACCCGAGAGGGUGAUCGGCCACAUUGGGACUGAGACACGGCCCAAACUCCUACGGGAGGCAGCAGUAGGGAAUCUUCGGCAAUGGACGAAAGUCUGACCGAGCAACGCCGCGGGAGUGAAGAAGGUUUUCGGAUCGUAAAACUCUGUUGGUAGAGAAGAACGUUGGUGAGAGUGGAAAGCUCAUCAAGUGGCGGUAACUACCCAGAAAGGGACGGCUAACUACGUG
rnacentral:rRNA from 1 species